ACUCCUACGGGAGGCAGCAGUGGGGAAUAUUGUACAAUGGGCGAAAGCCUGAUGCAGCAACGCCGCGUGAGCGAUGAAGGUCUUCGGAUCGUAAAGCUCUGUCCUCAAGGAAGAUAAUGACGGUACUUGAGGAGGAAGCCCCGGCUAACUACGUGCCAGCAGCCGCGGUAAU
rnacentral:rRNA from 1 species